rnacentral:rRNA from 1 species
CGGCGCACGGGUGCGUAACGCGUAUGCAACCUACCUUUCACAGGGGGAUAGCCCGAAGAAAUUUGGAUUAAUACCCCAUAAUAUUAUUGGAUGGCAUCAUUUGAUAAUUAAAAUUACGAUGGUGAAAGAUGGGCAUGCGUCCUAUUAGCUAGUUGGAGUGGUAACGGCACCCCAAGGCUACGAUAGGUAGGGGUCCUGAGAGGGAGAUCCCCCACACUGGUACUGAGACAGGGACCAGACUCCUACGGGAGGCAGCAGUGAGGAAUAUUGGUCAAUGGUCGGAAGACUGAACCAGCCAUGCCGCGUGCAGGAAGAAUGUCUUAUGGGUUGUAAACUGCUUUUAUAUGGGAAGAAUAAGGAGUACGUGUACUUUGAUGACGGUACCAUAUGAAUAAGCAUCGGCUAACUCCGUGCCAGCAGCCGCGGUAAUACGGAGGAUGCGAGCGUUAUUCGGAAUCAUUGGGUUUAAAGGGUCUGUAGGCGGGCUAUUAAGUCAGGGGUGAAAGGUUUCAGCUUAACUGAGAAAUUGCCUUUGAUACUGGUAGUCUUGAAUAUCUGUGAAGUUCUUGGAAUGUGUAGUGUAGCGGUGAAAUGCUUAGAUAUUACACAGAACACCGAUUGCGGAGGCAGGGGACUAACAGACGAUUGACGCUGAGAGACGAAAGCGUGGGGAGCGAACAGGAUUAGAUACCCUGGUAGUCCACCCUGUAAACGAUGGAUACUAGCUGUUUGGAGUAAUUUGAGUGGCUAAGCGAAAGUGAUAAGUAUCCCACC